AAAUUUUUUAGCUCUUAUUCGGUGAAAUUAAGCAAAUUUUCAAUGCGUCAUCAUUAGAGUUGGAAUUGGCAAGGUUAGAAGAAUUUUAGGUUAUUUCAUCAACGGCCAUGGCUUGUGAUGGUCAAGUAUUGACUUUGUUGAACAAUCCACGUGGAGAACUCCAACAUCUAAUUUUCCUCUUGACAAUUUUAAGAUGGUCUUGAGUGGAAAUUUUCCUUGGUUAAGCUUCAAUCUUUCAAAUUCCCCUUUAGAGAUGAUUUAUGCAUACGUUAACA
rnacentral:misc_RNA from 1 species